AGCUAGAGCAGGCAGGGAGAGAGCACACUGAGAACAGUGAGCUAGCAAGAGCCAUGCUGCAGCACAGAGGACAAAUGGGGCCAUGCUGUCUUGUGGCCUGAUUUGGAGAUCAGUGACCUGAAAGAAGGAACACUGAGUAGAAGAAUGCAAUCCACGGCCAGCAUGGCAAAGGGAGGCAGCUCUGAGCAAGCUGUGCCAGCUCAAGCCGGGGAGGCACUGUGAAACUGCUGCCUCUGCAUUUGACAGUGGAAUUCACUGCUCCUCUACACAGUUCCCCCAAACAGUUGCUUGGUUUGAGUGACCUGCCCCAUCUCCAUUGAAGCAGAGCCACUGUGUUGUUUCCACACUCUGUGCAAAUAGGGCAGAGCUGCUAAAAGCCUCACAGACUGUAUCACAUGGGCUUGUUUGCACAGUCCCCACCAAAAGCUCACACUGAACAGGAAAACACAAACCAACCACUCUGUUUGUUUGCUGCUCCCUCCAGUCCCCUUGUGGCCUUUGGUAUUUGCAGUGGCAAGCUGCAGCCCCAAAUUCACUAAUGAAUCAAGUCAAUACCUCUCUGUACCCUGCCCAAAACACAACAGGACAAAGCAACUCAGCACCACAGGGGGUUCUGAAUGCAGGUCUCUGGCCCUUGUAGCUCAGCACUGAAUUCAGACAGGGCAUAGCAGUCAGGAAAGGCUGAGAGUGCACAGCAGAAUGAGAGAAAACAUGCAGAAGAAGGGAAAAACAAAGAAGCCUCAGUGAAAAUAAAAGAGCAUGGACUGCGGAACAUUACGGAGGAUGCAGGCACGACUCUUCAUGUUCCCAGAGUUUUCAACUAAAGGGAAUUUAUGGAACAAAAAUCCUCACCCAACUUCACAGACCGUGCCUUUAGACAGACAGACUCAGGCUGAAUAAUGACAGUGCAACAACAAAUCAGAAAGCCCAGGAUAAACUACAAACUUGAAGUGUUAGAAAUCCAUGACAGGACAGAAAUCACUGAAAAUUAAGAGGGUGUUCUGGCAAUUCAUCAAGUUUCUCUAUAAAUUGCAAAGGGGAUUUACAGAAAGCAAGAGAACUUUUGCAUGUGCCUUUUAUGAUACAACAGAAUGAAACAUUUAUACAUUAAUUAAAAACAUUUUAAUUGAUUUUUUUAACCUUCCCUCUGUGUAGGUUUCUCUAAAAGAAUCAAGAUGCAAUUAAUAUUUAAUUCCAUCAAAGAGUAUUUUUAUUUACUAAAGUAUAAAAAAUAUUUACAGAAUAUACAAUUGCUGUG